rnacentral:tRNA from 1 species
UUGAAAAUCCGUUGGCUUUAUUGACCAUGAGGGUUCAAGUCCCUCUACCCCCA